rnacentral:rRNA from 1 species
UACGGAGGAUGCAAGCGUUAUCCGGAAUGAUUGGGCGGAAAGCGUCCGCAGGUGGCAAUGUAAGUCUGCUGUUAAAGAGUCUAGCUCAACUAGAUAAAAGCAGUGGAAACUACAUAGCUAGAGUACGUUCGGGGCAGAGGGAAUUCCUGGUGUAGCGGUGAAAUGCGUAGAGAUCAGGAAGAACACCAGUGGCGAAGGCGCUCUGCUAGGCCGUAACUGACACUGAGGGACGAAAGCUAGGGGAGCGAAUGGG